rnacentral:lncRNA from 13 species
GUUGAACUAAUUUACACUCCCACCAACAGUGUAAAAGUGUUCCUUUUUCUCCACAUCCUCUCCAGCAUCUGUUGUCUCCAGAUUUUUUAAUGAUCGCCAUUCUAACUGGCGUGAGAUGGUAUCUCAAUGUGGUUUUGAUUUGCAUCUCUCUGAUGACCAGUGACGAUGAGCAUUUUUUCAUAUGAUUGUUGGCCUCAUGGCAAAACAUCCAGGCCCCAAGGAACCCAUAUCCAUCCCUCGUUGAAAUCCUAGCACCAUCCAUUAACUCUGUGAUCUUGGGCAACUCUCUUCACCUCUCUGAGUUCCAGUUUAAUCUGUAAAACGGCAAUAACUGAUUAAAUAGCAUAGUAAUUCUAUAUAACUACUGAGGUUAUUGUGAAGGUUAAAUAUACUGUUGCAGGUAAAAGUGUUAAUACAUAUGUUAUUAGAAUUGUUAUUCAUAACAAUGUCCUAUUUUCCUGCAGACACCAUCUUAAAAUGAUCAUAAUAAAGCGCAAUGUACUGUCAUACUAAGAGGGUUCUUGAAGAAUGGAAUGAGUGAAUCUGUGCUGCCUAGCCGAGAGGCAGGAUCGGGUUUUCGAUGUGCUCUGAAUACCUGGGAACACUCUCCAUGGCAUUGCUUCGUUGGAAAAUCUUCUUUGAAAAGGCAACAAACUCCACCUGGAAGAACAGGUAAGUAAGUAACUUCCUUAACAACUAUUUUGUGCCUUACCCUUUUAUAAAAGCCAUCCCCGUACCAUUUAAUGUUCACAGAACACUUACGAAGACUCCAGGAGAGAUUUGAUGAUGCCCAUUUUACAGACAAGGAAACAAGCUCAGAUAAAUAGUUCCCCCCAAAGCCCACAGUUCCUAGUUGUAGAGCAAAGACUCAGUUCCCUUUUCUUCUGGGGAUAAAUCAUGUGUAUUUUCUGCCACAGACAGGGUCCUAAGGAAGACCAAUUUCUUUCCAUCAGGACGGGGUAUGGUUCUUGAAUCCAACACCUGAUUUCUUAUUGCAGAGGUUCCUAAGGGCUGGGUCUUUAGCGCUGAUGAAAGUCAGAUUCCAGCCGCCAGCCGUAGGAGAUACCUGCAGGCGUUCCAGCCAACCCAGAGACCUAGAAAGAAAACCCAAGCAUUCCUAACCUUUAAAAAGAUCUUAGCCUGUGGACAGAUAAAUUAACUCCAGGGCUCUGGGGAGAUUAAACCUUAUUUUAUGGUUUGCUUGUUAAAAACGCAUAACUCCAAAUCUCACCAGAGAUUGCAAUUAAGAUAGCACAGGGCUAAAGCUAUAUGAGAAGUAUUAUUUACUCCCGGUUCCCUGCAAAGUCCAAAACGACAAUGGGCUUUUCCAUUUCAUAACCCGCAGUCGAGCUGAAGCCACCUGCCUUUGUACCUAAAAUGCUUUAGGACACGUGCUUCUCUCCCAGCGCAGCUGCUACCACAGUUCUGUUAUCCUUUGUGGUUGCCCAAAGUAGCCAUAAAAACCCAAAGUUAAAACAAAGUUUCCUGGGCGUUAAUGUUCAAGAGACACCAAGAACAUUUUUUACCAUCUGCUUCUCUGCUGUUCUCACCUGAGGGGCCCUUUUUCUGUGUUCUCCUUUGAAUGCCUGACAUGUACGAGCCCCAGAUAGCUCCCUAAUUUCUAGCAAAGUCCCGGGAAAAGCCAGAUCACCCCAGAG